CAGCAAAUAUUCCUGCUGUUCUCAUUUUGUAAAUAAUCAAGACAGGCUAAACCUUUGCUAUAUUAAGAUCAUGCAUGUCUCCCCAAACGUAGUUCUUUCCCUGGAUCUGGUUUUAUCAAUGCUGGUGAUUCAU
rnacentral:snoRNA from 2 species